rnacentral:rRNA from 1 species
GAUGAACGCUGGCGGCGUGCUUAACACAUGCAAGUCGAACGAAGCAUUUAGGACAGAUUACUUCGGUUUGAAGUUCUUUAUGACUGAGUGGCGGACGGGUGAGUAACGCGUGGGUAACCUGCCUUGUACUGGGGGAUAGCAGCUGGAAACGGCUGGUAAUACCGCAUAAGCGCACAAUGUUGCAUGACAUGGUGUGAAAAACUCCGGUGGUAUAAGAUGGACCGCGUCUGAUUAGCUAGUUGGUGAGAUAACAGCCCACCAAGGCGACGAUCAGUAGCCGACCUGAGAGGGUGACCGGCCACAUUGGGACUGAGACACGGCCCAGACUCCUACGGGAGGCAGCAGUGGGGAAUAUUGCACAAUGGAGGAAACUCUGAUGCAGCGACGCCGCGUGAGUGAAGAAGUAAUUCGUUAUGUAAAGCUCUAUCAGCAGGGAAGAUAGUGACGGUACCUGACUAAGAAGCUCCGGCUAAAUACGUG